rnacentral:snRNA from 1 species
AGCUUUGCAGAGAAGCGAUAACGUAACCAAUGAGGCUUUGCCGAGAUGCGUUUAUUGCUUGUUGAAAACUUUCCCAAAAUAUAUUUGAAGUGAACUGACUACAGUGAAAGGGACGUUUUUGUAGGUCUAUCGAAGU